rnacentral:tRNA from 5 species
GGGAAAUUGGCAGAGUGGUUGAAUGCACCGGUCUUGAAAACCGGCGAACGUGAAAGCGUUCCCAGGGUUCGAAUCCCUGGUUUCCCGCCA